CCAAAGAAGUGAGAGAGUGCUUUGGGUAUCUCUGGAUUCAUUGAAUGCCUCCCAACAAAGCCGACUCAGCACAUGCUUGUGAUUGCCCCACGCGCAAUUAUUGCAUGGGCGGAAGUUAGCACUGCAAUGUCACAUAGUAGCACAAGAGAGAAGGACACAUGAGACCUGUUUUCUUCUUUGUAACCCUACCUACGUGAAUCCAAUGACAGUAGCAUACAUACAGUUAUAUUGUAAUAGAGCAACCUUACUAUAUUUUCUUUGAGAGCUCGAUGAAGAUAAUGACACAAACAAAAGCAGAUCCCGUACGAUCUGCAGACUGCAAUGGAGCAGCACCCUAUCUCUUCCGCUGUCUUAUUUACCCAGGUAGCAAAACCCACAUGAUUCUGCAGUGAACGCCACCACGGCUCAUGAUGGUUACCGAGCAGUACCCACCCUCGACACCGGCUUGCAUAUAAAUCUUGUUAUCAUUCGAGUAGGCUGGCUGUUCGCAACAUGACAGGUGCGCAGGCAAUGGGAAACGGAGGCAUUGGGAGUGCGAGAGAGGAGCGGAGGAGGAGGACGGCUGGGAGAUGCUCCACCAUGAACAUUAGCUUCUCGGCGAGGCUGCCCGGCGACGUGCGCGGCGACCUGAAGGAGAGCAUUUGCGCGGUGAAGUACUCGGUCGACCCUUUUGCCGACUUCAGGAAGUCGAUACUCGAGAUGAUAAGAGACGGCGGCGUCAGGGACUGGGAGGAGAUGGAAGAGCUGGUCUAUUGCUACGUGGUGCUCAAUCCGUCGGACCUCCACUGCUUCAUUGCGGAGGCGUUCCUCAGCGUGUGUUCUCUUGCUAGAUAAGAGAAGUGUGGUCGUCUUUGAUUCCCAAUGGGGAAGAUCAGAUGAUGUGGAUCAAUAAUGAUGCUUACUUGUCUGCUUCUGCUAUCUAUCUGGAUGCCAUCAUAGAUUGCUGAUGUCCAUAUUCCAAUGACCGGGGAGCAGUAGGAGACUGGGAAAUAGUGGCCAAUUUGUUGUUCUGCAUUCAAGAAUGUGAUAUUACACCACACACACUUCGAUAGAUGCAUCAACAACAUGAUUGGGACACUCCGUCUUCAGCAAGUCGCCUGGAACCCCUUAUUGGCCACCAAUAUAUAUAUAUAUAUAUAUAUAUAUAUAUAUAUAUAUAUAUAUAUAUAUAUAUAUAUAUAUAUAUAUAUAUANNNNNNNNNNNNNNNNNNNNNNNNNNNNNNNNNNNNNNNNNNNNNNNNNNNNNNNNNNNNNNNNNNNNNNNNNNNNNNNNNNNNNNNNNNNNNNNNNNNNNNNNNNNNNNNNNNNNNNNNNNNNNNNNNNNNNNNNNNNNNNNNNNNNNNNNNNNNNNNNNNNNNNNNNNNNNNNNNNNNNNNNNNNNNNNNNNNNNNNNNNNNNNNNNNNNNNNNNNNNNNNNNNNNNNNNNNNNNNNNNNNNNNNNNNNNNNNNNNNNNNNNNNNNNNNNNNNNNNNNNNNNNNNNNNNNNNNNNNNNNNNNNNNNNNNNNNNNNNNNNNNNNNNNNNNNNNNNNNNNNNNNNNNNNNNNNNNNNNNNNNNNNNNNNNNNNNNNNNNNNNNNNNNNNNNNNNNNNNNNNNNNNNNNNNNAUAUAUAUAUAUAUAUAUAUAUAUAUAUAUAUAUAUAUAUAUAUAUAUAUAUAUAUAUAUAUAUGAAACCAUAUUUUAAACUAUUACUACUGUGAUGUGUGCAUCGAUCGUGUCUCCUCCGUUGCACUGAAAGAUAUUAAGUUAUAUGAAAUAGAGGAGAAAUAAGGAUUGAAAAGUUAGGCCAGGUUAUUAGAUCUAAUACAAACAGUCUAAACUUUAGAGCUGACCACGCAUGAUCCAUGUCCAGUACAGAUCAUUUGGACGGACAACAGAGCAUGCAUUUGGACUACUAACAAAAUGCGAGAAAAAUAUCCAAUUUUUUAAUUUCUUUGCAAGGAAAAUGAAAAUUAAAUAUCACAAGAUAAGAAAUCCUAAAAUUUGGCUUCCAUUGCUCAGGUCAUUAGUAAAAGCCACGUCUACACCUCUUCCUUAUUCUCUCAUUUUUACCAAUAGAUGGAACUCAAGACGAUCACUUAGGCACAGCAAAGAGGACGAAAGAUCACAUACCAGACUAAGAGGGUAGAAUCUAAGAAUAAAAUAUAUCGUUGGCUCCCAUAUUUAGUAGCAUUAAAGUGUAUUUAACCAAUAUCUUCGUGUUCUUAUUCAUCGGAACUCUCUGAUGAUUCAUGCUCCUGACCAACCACAGCAGCAGGUUCCUGCAUAAGGGAAGGAAAGAUGUCCAGUAAGCAUUUGAAAGAAUGUUAAUGAAGGAUUAUUUAACAAUUAAGGGAGAAAACAGCUUAAAGGGAAAAGAAAAACGGAGAGCAUAAGUUAUCGGUUCGUGUUCAUACUGCCAUUUUGUCCCAGUCCUUCAACUUCGAACUUGUAAGCAUGUAACUGUCACGUAAUGGAGCCCACCCGGUCACGUUGCUUUUUUCUUCCUUCCUAGAAUUAGAGACCUGCAUAAACCACGAAGUUAAUGUUCUACACAGGACAAAAUAACUUAUCAGGAAAGAGAAAUGGAGAGUCUAGGAAGUUACAAGUAACCAAUGGUUAUAAGCAUGACUCUUCAACCCAAGAGAGAUCAAAACCCAAAGAAGGAUCAAAAGAAGCAUGUUUAUUUGCUCUCAGAAUCAUCAAACUCUUUUCAGUAAAGCAAACCUAUAAUAGAGGUACCAAUUUCCCAAAAGCACCAGAGCUAGUUGGAUUAACAGUCUUCUAAGUGAAGCUUAUAUAUGAAGCACCGGCUUAUGGUCACAUUAGCAGUCCUUAAAGUCAAGUUUACAAAUGAAGAACUGAGUAAUAGUUGGGUCAGCAGUCAUUAAGGUGAAGCUUACAAAUGAAGCACUAACUAUAUCAGACCUUACACUUGUAACCAAACAAGACAUUGCAGUUCUUCAAUUUCCAUAAAGUCUAUGUUUAUCUAAAUCAGAAAAAAAUUUGCUACCAAUUUCAGUAAAAAUAGGACCAUGAGAACCUAUGCAUGUCACUUUCAAAAAAGGAAACUAAGAAAAACUAUGAAUUUUCGUAAAACUUCCAAUUUCAUGAUCAACUGUGUCAGUAAACAUUAUAUAGAUAACUUAAACAAGCAAUACAAAUAGCUACCAAAUUAUGCAGUGUUAAAAAAUGCCUACUUCAAAUAGCAGCUUUUUGAAAAAGACAAUGAGCGUGCAGGGAGAUUGGGUUCAACCAAAACUAAGAAAAAUUAAACCUAAAUGUACUUAAGAAAGCCAUUACGUUUUAUGGAUAUCUACAUAACCGAGUUAUAAUGAAUAAACAUGUAUUAGUAAAAUGGCAUUCUAAGAAUGGAAACUCAUGUCUCUGAACCCCUCAUUAAGAUUAUACAUCCUGGAUAAAAAUCAGAAAUUGGCAGAUUUUUCAUUAAAUCGGACUUACACAAUUCAACUGACCCAAAUACGUUUCUUUUUUAUGAUCACCAAAUCCAUCCUGGCAAAAGAGAUGUUAUUUACCUUUUUACAUGUUAACUAGCACAAAUAUCACAGGCUGACCAGGUCUUCAACUUAAAAGAAUGCAUGGUUUCUGAGGCAUGAAACACUAAAAAAAUAAAUAAUUUUUUUGAAUUCAAGAGGAAAGGAUAUAAAGUCCUUGGCAAAUCUGAGGCUAUUACAUUGAUGCAAGAUAAGCAAAAAACAGGAUCUAUUCUAACCGAAGUUUCAUGAUGGUGGCAAAGAUUAACCAUAUAACUAACAAAAUAGAAAAAAGAAAAUUAGGCAUUACUACAGUGAUCACAUGCACAAACAAAAAGUUAGAACAGCUGCAUUUUAGUUAACUAACCAAGGGAAAAGAAAAUGAACAAGCAUUAGCAUGUGCAUGGCAUGCAUAAACUAUAUCAUACAAGAAUUGCAUGACCAACAGUUAUCACAUACCUGUGUAUUUGUCUUCUGCAGCUCUGAAAAGAAGGCUUGUUUCCUUCGUUUUGCCAACACUGUUGCAAUCACAAGAUACGGUGGUCAUUAUAGUCCAGAAGCCACAAUAUGAAAAAUACCAUAACAGUAUCAAUGCCUGAAAAACUUAAGUGGCUUGCUGAUUAUCACUGAAAAAAAAGCAAUUCACAAAUAACUGUUAUGGAAAUUACUUAGUCUACUGAAUACAUAAACCAGUAUGAAGUCCAGAAAUUUCUCAAAGCAAUGACAAUGUCAUAAGUAUUUGUGACUCAAAAUGGUCAUUUUGCAUCUAACAAAUUAAAUAAAUCAUGUACUGCUGUUUUAAGUUCAAUACCAUCAAAAUUUCCUUGCAUGUACAUUUACCAAGCAUAAUGUCAAGCUGAUGCUUCCUAGAAAAAUCAGCUAAUACCAUUAUGUAAACAUACUGGACCAAAGAAUUUACCUAUUAUACACUUGAGAUAAAAUUGAACAGUUUUUUGACUGGUCCUGAUCAGUCAAGAGGAAAAGCAAGCAACUACAAUUAUCAAAUUAGUUAAACAGAAAGUUACGAAGUAGGCUAUAAAAGACAAAGAAUACAAAAAUUGAACAAGCGAUAGAUACGAUCAGUAUUUCAUAAAUUAUAGAACAUAUAACAAAGCAUCAGACUAAAACAAUAAACAAGAGACUUGUCGAUAUAGUCGAGUAACAAAGACUACAAUAUUCAUUUAAGACAGGGUUUAAUGAACCAAAUUAUGAAGAGACAAAAAGAAUUGCAGGUUAAACCGGUCAGAAGAAUUAUGAAAAGAAACUAUCAGACCAGUCGCCUCAGCUAAAUGAUCAUUAACCUCAGUCUCCACAUUAUAGGUAUAAUCCUGUUUCCAUACUUGAUGGCAAUGCCACUAAACCACCCUUUCAAGAAUACUUGACCACAGUUGCUAUGUAACUCAUUGACAUCUAUAACCAGACCCCUAAAAAACAAAGCUAAUAUCUACAUACUUUCAACUGCACUGCAUCAGUCUUAGGCAAUGAUUACAUGCAACAAAAUGAUGAUUAAAAAAAAAAAAGUUAAAUACUUCAUUUUAAAUUACAUUGUUACAUUCCUUCUUUAGUAGUCUAGAGAAAUGGGCUUGUUCAUCUAUCAUAUUGCAUUGAAAGUGUAAAUACCAUCACCCAAUUAUUACCCUGUUAUGCAGGGUCCCAUUUCUAGAAAGUGCAAGGGUGAAGAAGCUAGGUGCUGGCUGUCAUGCCAGUGGCAAUUGAUCACACCAGUUAUUCACAUGUAAACAAGAAAAAUCGGCAUGAGAGAUGUGGCAUGGUUAGAUCUUACAUGGAGAUAGUAUACUCCAAUUUAAUCAAUAAUUUCCUAAAUGUCACUCUAGCAUCUCCUUGUUUGCAGAUAUAUUACCAGCUUCAACAAAUUGAUGCAUUGUAAGACCAAUCCAAUUAAAGAAGAAAGAAAAAUGACAGAUCAAAAGCAUUGUCUUAGAUGUUUAAGACCUACAAAUUUCAUGAAUCUUCUAAACAUGAUGAGCCAAGCAUCACUAGUGUUAGCUGCUAUAAGCCUAACAGUCCAAUUGUGAUUCAUAACCCAAAGGUCAGCAUGAUAAAAGUGUCUCCACCUUUUGAUUCUAUUACUAAAUAUAAUGACGUACUUUUGCAUUUUCUAGAGGGGAAAAAGAUAAAAACUUUAAUUGUCAAGCAUAGGAUCAAAAAGCUUCAAGCAGCUAAGCACAUCAUAUUUUACAAGAAAACAAAAUAGCAACUAGUCAUAGUUUCUAUUACAUAUAUUUCAUCUUAAAAGGUGGAUCCUAGAGACCCCAAUCUUCUUCCAAAUUUUGUUAGUUUUUUUUUUUUGCAGCAUAUCUUCUUCCAAAAUUUGCCAAAAUUUUGGCAAUAUCCUUGUAGAUUAAUAUCACACCUUUUCUUGCAAGAAUAUCUGGUUUUUUGGUUAAAUCAUUGUCCGAGAUAAAUUAAUGCUUUAUGAAUAUUACUGUCACUGUGUUAAACAAGAAAGAUGAGAGAUGUUUAUUCAAUUUAUUUAUACUUUCUUUUGUUAUGUUUUACAAAACAGAUAAAUGCCCAGUUAACAAGGCAGAUAUAUAAUAUUUGAACUGAAUAGUUUUAAUUGUGAGCAGAACAUUCAACUCCAUCUUUCAAGAUUUCUGUUUGUCUUUAGCAUCCAUUAUUGUGACCUUACAUCACUGAAUAAAGAAAGUCAGGAUAUUUUACAUGCAGUUAUCAUUCAAAAAGAUAGUACUCCUUUUAGAAUUGGUAAUUUGGAACUCAUCGAAGAAAAUAGUAAUAGAAAUUAUAUGUCAACUAAAGAAAUAGGGAAACUAAAUAAAAAGUUGGUUGCAAAACCAGUUGCUUCCUUGUAACAAGGCAGUCUGUAGCUAUUGCUAGAAGUUAUCUUUUACAGCAAAGUGGCCAUAUUGAUGCAGCCCCAUGCACUUAAAGUUUCUCCAAUAUCAACAGGUGUUGUGCUUGAAGGUACUUAAUGGUGUACAUGUAACAUAACAACCAUCAGAAAGAAACAAUGAAACAGGCACUUACAUGGAGCCUGUAUAAUUAAAAAAUAAAUGUCACUCAUUAACAGCCAUUUAAUUGGACUGUAGCAUGUCCUGCUCAUGAUUGCUAAGACAUCAAUUUAAUUAAUUGAUAUCAACCAUCAUGGUGCUAAAAAUGUGAGGAUUUUUAGAUUGUAGCACUUAAAAAGUUUUUUACCCACUCCCACGCCCCACCCCCACAAAAAAAACAAAAAACACAAAAGCAGGACAAACAAAUUUCAACCUACUUCUGCAUCCUGAUAUAGAAGAAGCAGAGACCAGAAAGCAUACAGUUCUGUAUGUGUCAUUAGAAACUACCUUAUAAGCCACACCAAUCUUCUAACUUCAGUGAACGACUUCAUGUUAUUAUUUGGCAAUUUAAUAUACAACUGCAACUGCAAAAUAUUUAUUGCAUUAUAAACUUCUAUUUUUAACAAAAUCCAUUAAAAAUUUAAGCAAGAAUUAAAGUUACUAUAUCACUGAUUUUUAUUCAAGUAGCAUGCUAUUGUAUAUAUUUUGGUGUAAAAUUUAGCAUUUGCUACAAAGAAAGCAAAAAUGAAUGAGAAAUGAAGAUAUCUUAUAAAUCAACUUCAGUUCUUGACUAAGAAAUAAAUUAUCUUCUCUAAGUAUUCUUUACUAUGGAUGUAUAAUUAUUCUAAUAAGGCACGGUACAUUCAACUAAUGCAACUGAAAACAAAACAAAGGAAGCUUAAGCUCUAAGCUAACAGCUUCGAAGCUGGGUAAAUAUCAAACUCAGCAACCUUGUCUGAACACAACCAAAUAUGAUACCUACAAAGUGGAUAAAAGAAAAGAAACAAGUAACAAUUUUAGAUUCCACACCCUUUGUAUCUUUAGAUUUUGAAGGAUUCAAGCCAAUUUGAGCGUUUUGUGCCUUGCUGACCUGCACCAAGGAUUUAAAUGUUAACAGAAAAAAGUAAUAGUUCAGCUCAAGAAACAUAACCUGCAACACAAAACAAAAAGGCAAGUUCAUUCGCUUACCGCAUUGAAUAGCUUCACAACUGAAACGGAUCCAGAAUCAAGCAUGCAAGAUGAGGAAUUUAGUUAAGAAUAAAAGAGUAACUAAAAGAACAACACAAGGCACUAUCCGGGCAUAAUAGAUACACUACCUCCUUUUGUUGCAACGCCAAUAAGAAACUUCUCCUUUGCAUCCAAGAAAUUAGCAGGCUUUAUAUGCCCAUUCUCUGCUGCCUAUAUUACAUACAUCAAAUGAAAAUUUCAACCAACAUGAAAACUCUAAUACAAAUACCUAAAUUACCAAUUCCUAGUUAAGGUAGAGCGAAGAGGACAAACAACAGAGUGAAAAGAAGCUAGCUAACUAAUAGUACCCACCAGCUGCUUCUCCUUCUUCGUCUCCCCCUUCUUCUUAUGCUCUGCAUCGUCUUCUGCAAGCUUCUCCGCUACGAGUUUCUUGUGUGCAGAUAGUAUUGGCCCCUAAGAACACGAUCACCAAAAAAUCAAGAAAAGACAAAUCACCUUUUGUAGAACCCAUUCAAAUUCCUCGAAAAGAAGGCUCACAAGGGGAUCGUCCGGGAGAUGUUUCUUCAUAAUCUUCAUAAAGGCAACCCUGAAAGCCCUGCAACCCCCCACGAACCUGGUAAUCCCGUGCUGAGCUCCCCGCUCGUCCUCCUCAUCAUCACACUCUGAGCCUCCGCUCCCAUCAUCUCUAACAUCGAAAUCCUCCUCGUCGCCGCUGGACGGCUCCUCUUCGCGCUCUACGUCACCAUCGUCCUCCUCGUCGGAGUGGUACUCCCUGGCCCUCUUCCGGAAGAGCUUCUUCAUCUUCUUACUAGGUUGCCGGGGCUUGGCCGUGGCCAUGGGCGACGCCUUCUGCUUGACCCUCUUGCUCGGGUUCUUGCUCUUCUUGUGCUUCGGCUUCCGCUUUCUGGGGGCCGGAGCGGCGGCGGCCUCGAGGGGUUGGAGCUCUGCCGCCAUGCCCGACGAGGUCUGCCGACCCAAAGAAGGCGGCGAAAGAUGGUAUGGUAGGAUUGAUCGGGUCGAAGAGGCACGGAUCCGUUAAAGUAAGCAUGUCCGGUCGUCUUAGGCUCCAUCGAUUCAUAGACUAACGGGCCCAAAUUACAUCUAUUUACGGAGCCCAUAUACUGUUGAUCGCAGUUACCUGCGGCAACGAGUUGAGAUUUGAUCAAAUAUGGUUCGGGUAAUCUUGAACCCGACCCGAUUCAUGGGUCCGCCGAGACUUCGUUCAACCAUCCAUCACCAUCCAAUGGCUCGCUUCAUGAAUCAACGGCCACAAUCUUAACCUAUCGAAACCCUAGUUCUCCCUUUCAAGUAUAAAGAAACUAUGGUUUCUCGUCUCCUUGACCAUUCGUCUUCACGUAUUCUCGAGUGAGGCGGCCAGCGAGAGGAGCGCGAUCUGUUCAAAUCGCCAGCGGAGAUGAAGACGAUCCUCUCCUCGCAGACGAUGGACAUCCCCGAGGGAGUCACGGUGAAGGUGAAUGCCAAGAUCGUCGAGGUGGAGGGCCCGCGCGGGAAGCUCACCCGUGACUUCAAGCACCUCAACCUCGACUUCGAGCUCAUCGAGGGCGGGAAGAAGCUGAAGGUGGACGCUUGGUUCGGCUCGCGGAAAACCACCGCCGCCAUCCGCACCUCCAUCAGCCACGUCCAGAACCUGAUCAGCGGCGUCACCAAGGGGUACCGCUACAAGAUGCGUUUAGUCUACGCCCACUUUCCCAUCAAUGCCUCCAUCACCAACAGCAACACCUGCAUCGAGAUCAGGAACUUCCUCGGCGAGAAAAAGGUUCGAUCUUGUUUGGUCUUACCUUGUCUGUUUCGAUCGUGUUUGGUUGCCUGUGUUAUCGCUAGUCUCAUGUUAAGUCGUUACUACAUUUUUUUUUUAAUUAACUGCCAAUGUUGGGUGAUUUCAUGGAGAUUUUCUGUGUUAAAUUUUGAAGGUUUUGGGCCUUUUUUGGUCAUAAAAGCUGUCGGUCAUUAACGUAUCUUUUGGCUUUUUUUUUGGAUGGAUUGUGGCAAAGAAGGGUUAUAUUGUUCUUUAUUCUUAAACUAGUUGUGCUAAGCGAAAAAAUUUAAAGUUCUCGUUGUAAUCACUAACCUUUUGUAAAUUCCUGUGGAUGUCACUUUUGUGUCCUAUGUCGGUUAAUAUGCUUAAUAGUUUUGGAUUCGUCAACAUGUACAAAAGCAUGAAGCAUUGUAAAUGUUUUGAUCGCAUUCGUAUGUCUAUUGGUUAGCUUUCUUGAAUCAUGUAAUAGUUAUAUAUUGGCUUUAUAUCUGGAAUUUGUGUAGGAUUUCAUUACUGAAAUGGUAAGUAAUAUGCUUGUAGAGUUGAAUUUUUGUUAAGGUGGCAUUUGGUUUGUAGGAUGAGGACUACUGUAUUUCCAGUAUUUGAUUGGGAAAUAAGAUUCCAAAUCUCAUUUUGAGAGAAUUCAGAUCUCCCAAAUGGGAGAUCUGGAAGACUGUUUAGCAUUUGGAAUUUGAAAUCCUAUUCACUAGGAAUUAAGAGAAGAUUUCUAAGGCUAUACAUAAAAUAACAGAUUAUUAUAAAGAAUGUAUAGUAAACAUAAGAAAAUUCGGGGAUAAAGUAUUAAAAAAUAAUAUAUAAAUAAUAUGUACUAAAAUCCAUAUCAAUUAUACUGAUAUUCCAAAUAUGUCAAAGCAAUUUGGUGAUUCUAAUUUAGGUUCUGGUGGAUGUUCGAUAUUAUUCAGAUUUCCAUUCCAAUAAUGAAUCAGAUACCAUAUAAAAGUAGCAAUUACUGCAAUAUAGGGCAUGUCAUAUUAUUCAGAUUUCCAUUCCAAUAAUGAAUCAGAUACCAUUUAAAAGUGUCGGUUACUGCAAUAUAAGGCAUGCCUUUUCUGAUGCCAUUCAACAAAAUUCUUUGAAUUGAAGGUGCUGAUAUUAAUUAUUGUCCAAUCACAAAGUCCAAUAUACAUUGUUGAUCUCUUAAAUAUUAUGGACACAUCACCACAUUAAGCAGGUAAAGAAUGUAGAUAUUAUAGAGUGUACUGUGUGCUUUAAAAAUGUUGUGGCAAUUCUCUACCGGAACUAUGAAUUUUUUAUUGUUUCAGGUGCGGAAAGUUGAUAUGCUUGAAGGUGUGCAAAUUUUUCGGUCUGAGAAGGUCAAGGAUGAGCUUGUCCUUGAUGGGAAUGACGUGGAACUUGUCUCUCGCUCUGCUGCCUUGAUCAACCAGGUCAGCUGUUUCAUUACUUUAGGUCAACAAACAAGGGAUAUAUAUAUAUAUAUAUAUAUAUAUAUAUAUAUAUAUAUAUAUAUAUAUAUAUAUAUAUUGUUCAAUCUUCUUGUAGUUAAGCAAGCAACAGCUCUUUUUUUCUGAGACAUUUUAUUUUUAUGUUGAACAGAAAUGCCACGUAAAGAACAAGGAUAUAAGAAAGUUCUUGGAUGGUAUUUAUGUCAGUGAGAAGGGAACAGUUAAUGAGGAAGCGUAGUCAUCUAUUAAGAUGGUGUGAGGGGUAGCUGAGCUUCUGGAUGGAAUCAAGUUUUAGUUUAUUUUUUUAAUCUCAUUUAAUGUGAUUUGCCUUUGGCAUCAUAUAAUCAUCCGAUUAGUCUUCAAGUUCAAGAUAAUUAGCUGUGGAGACUUGUUCUUCCUUGGGACCAUAACGAGAUUGAUGCUUCUUUCCGAAUUGGCUUUCUUAGAAUUAUUGAGAGAACUAAGUUCAUGUUUUGUUCAAAAUUAGUUAGUGUUUGCAUUUUAAUUAAUCUAGUUCUGGUAAUUUUGUUAUCAUAUCUGCAUUUGCCUCUCUUUUGAGUUGUGCAACAAAGAAAUCAAGCUUAUCAUUCUUGAAUGGUCUUUUCUGGUAUUAUUUCAUAUUCACCACUAGUUUUGUCAAAUAUGAAGAGAUGUUAGUCUGCCGGUGGCAUUCGUGAUGGACAUUGAAUGGCACCCAAUCCAUUGAUUGUUUCAGAUGACAUCAUUCUUUACCUCUCUGUCUCUUGUCAUGAUCGCCUGUUUCUCUUAUUUUUUCUCGGUUGUGAUCGUCUAUUCACUUCAACUCUACCACUAUCUUCGUUGCAUUUACUGCUCACCAUGUUUUCCAUCGUUGUUUGCCUCUUCCUCUAUUUCUUCAUUGUUAUCAACCUCCAUUGCACGUCAGACACCUUUUCAUUUAUCAGUAUAAUCCUUAGAAUGAUGCUCAUUGCAUCCCAAAUUUUCACCACAAGUAUGGGAUUUAAGGUCUCAAUAAUAAAUUUGGAAGGUAAUCUAUCUUUAGAUGACUUUAAGGACUUUAAUGUUCACUUUAGUAUAUUUUUAGGUUAAUACUCUCAACGAGUAUAAUCAUAUUUAUCCAUCAAUAUAAUUUUUGUGAUACUUGCACAUUACACGUCAAACCUUUAACAUAGAGGGCAACAAAAUCUCAAUAAUUUUUUUUUAUAAUAUUAUGAGUUUUUCAAAUCUAUUUGGCACGUUUUUGAGUUGAUUUUAUGCAUGGUGUAAUGACCAUUUAUCAAUAUAAGCUGUAUAUACUUACUCCAUCGCUAGAGACAUCAAAUAAAUUACUAGUUUAAAUUUUUAGUGUUUAUACAUAAAAAAAAUUACAAAAUAUGGUAAUUAUAUAAUUUUUUAAUCAAAAAAUAUUCAUUCAAAUCAUGAAAUGAUCGAGGAUAUUACGCUGAUAUCAUGAUCCUCAUUAUUCAACAGAAUCAUGAUAAUAUGUUAACAUAAUCAUAAUAUUGAGAGAACCAUAAUAAUAUUAUCAUGAUUUUUUUUAAUAAUAUUAUUCUUAUUAUACUUCUGUAAAUUGAUGCUUCUAUCGAAUACACAAAUUUUGGACUAAAGUAGAAUAAACCAUUAGUAAGGUAAAAGCUUGAUAAGAUUAUACUGAUUAGAAAGUAAGAAAUGAGAGAUACUUAACUUAUCAUUCUGAACUUUGUCAUAAACAAAAUAGAAUCAAUAGCUCUGUGCUUUAUUUAAGAGUGAUAUAGGAUUAGCACAUAUAUAUAUAUAUUAUCUUAAUAUUAUCACCAUAUAUAAAAAGGAGGAUCACAUAUAAUUCCUAUAGCAAUGAUUUAAUUCAAUAAAGUUUAAUAGUUGUAGUUUAAUAGUUGUAAAAGCAACAGCUCAAUAUUCAGUUUACUUCAAAGAUUUUACGAUAGAGCAUUGUUUCUUAGAACCUUACGCUAGAUUGUGACAAAAAAAAAUUUGACAUAAGUACUAGUAGAUAUCCUAUCAUUUUUAUUACCUGCCUAAUUAACAUUUAAAAAUGCACGUAACAAUAGAGGAGAAUCUUUUUAUUAAAAUAAUUGAUAAUCAAUAUUACCCUUUUAGGUACUCGAGAAUGCAUUUAAUGAUAAUCCAAUUGUUGAAAGUAUGCUUGUGUGUAUAUCGGGAUAAUUUGUUCACCGCCAUCAAUUUGAUGAUACUAAGUGACGCCAUUAAGAUUAGUACUAUCAAAUAAGAUUAGAGGAAUACUUGUAGAGAUUGGCAUAGUGAUAAAUAUUGAUUUCAAAUAUCUUAAUGCUAUCAAGAAGAUCAUGAAAAUACUUCUGUUGAAAAAGAAAUAGAUCAUUUAUUAUGUAGAUUAUUUGAACAUAGAAAAUAGCUAAGCGACGUAAGAUCUUUGAUAGAAUAAUUAUUUCUAGAUUAUUAAAUAAACUAAUUAAUUAUUCUUAGUCUAUUAAUAGUAAUAAUUAAGUCAUUCACAUAAAUUAGUAAAAAUAUAAGUACCCUUGUGAGAAUAAAUAAAUAACAAAUUAUUAGAUUGAGAAUUAUGAAAUCCAAUAGAGAUUAGAUUUGUUCAAAAUUUAUGAUACCAAGCACGAAAGAUUUACUUUGGACUUUAAAGAGUUUUGACAACUUAUAGAAAUGUUGAAGAAGAUUAUAAUUAAUAAAGUCUGAAAGUUAUCUUAUAAAUACAUCUUCAAAAAUAUGAUUAGAGGAAUUACAUUAUUCGUGUUUAACUAUGGAAGUCCCCAACUUUUAGAUAAGAAAAUAAUAAAUUAGUGUUGACUUCACAAUUGAAUUAAAAGUGUCAUGGUAGCCAAGGCCCAUUAAUGAAAUCCUUUUAUAAUAAGUCUUGCUUUAUACUUAUUAAUAGACUUAUCAGGAUUUUAUUUGAUAUGAAAAACUCAUUUAUACCCUAUAAGGUUUUGACUCAAAUCAAAUUAGACUAAGACUUAUGUACUAUUCCUUAAUAAGUCAUUAUACUCUUCAAACAUUAUUGCUUACUUACCAUUGGAGAUUUUUUUUAGCUUGUUGACGGUAGAAGGCUCAAAAAUAAUUUUUUAUGAUUAUUUUAUAAAAAAUCUAUUUAUUUGGUUUGAAGAUUGUAUUUUUGGAUCUACAACUAUUGGAUAAAUUGGCAUAUAGUCAAUGAUAUCCGUAAGAUGUGUUGGACAAAAAGAAUUUAAAAUAAAGUUAUUGAAAUCAUGCCUUGUGAAUUCUAUGUAUAACAUUCUCAAAAAACAAUUGGAUUAACAAAGUAACUUAUAGUUGAUCAUGCACCAUUGAGAAAAAACUUGAGCUAGGUAGCAAAUGGAACCAAAAUUAGUAGGUUCUAAAUGGAUAAAGUAUUUGGAUUAAUGAGUGGGGUUGAUGUUUCAAUUUAUAUGAUAAUGAUAAUAUAAGGUGGCUCAUAAAUUUGGGAAACCCAAGGUAAGAAAGAGUUAAGUGAUUUAUAAGGAAAGAUAAAUUUUAUAACAUCAACAUGACAAAAAAUAAUAACUCUUUUGGUUGAUGGAUCAAAAUAUUUAUAACACUUUGAUUAGUAGAAUAUGUAAAAAAACUAAAAUCAUGCUUUAAAUUUGUUUUGAGUGUAAGGUUUUAACUAUUGAUAGCAUAGACACCUAAAAUCUUAUAAUUUAUUAUAGUUAUUAGUGGAUCGGAAUAAUUUUUAAAUAGUGAAAUCAUAUUAAAAAUUAUAGUGGGUAUCGAUUAAUAAGAUAAUAUUAACAUAAAUGUAUGAGACUAAAAUUGAAAAGAUAAGAAAUGUGAGAUUAAUUUGGAUGAUACAACAUUCAUGACUAUGUGGAGGGAAGAGAAAAUAAAUUUUUUUAUUAGUUUCAAGAAAGACACUCAGCUUUUGAAAUUCACCAUCAUUGUCAAAUAAAAUAAAAUAAUAGAUUAUUAAAGAAACUUUUUAACAAUAAGCUCAAACUUACAAAACAUGAAUACUUCAAUUUUUACUUCAUGAGAAAUAACCAUAUAUACUUUGUGAAAUGAUUAGUAAAAAUAAGAUAAUAGUUAAACCCAUCAUAAGUUUGUAUUAAUGUGAAAUCCCAAAUAUUAGAAUAUAUAAGUUUAAAAGAUAAAUUACUUGUGAGAGAGGAGGUAGAAAAUAGAAGCUUAUGCAUUUUAUUAUAUUUACAUAAAUUAUAUAAAAAUAGAUAAUAAGAGGAUGAUGAUAAAGGCAAAUUAUAAGAAUGAAUAAUCUGAUUUAAAACGUUAAAGGAAGAAUACCAUGAGCAAUUGUACUUAUUUUUAAAAUAAAAUCUUGAUGAUGGUCAAAGCAAAAAUAAAUUUGGAUGAAGAUGCUGCAACAUUUGGUCAUUGAUAAGAUCUGUCUGAAGAGGGUAAAAUUUCAAUAGAAAUAUUAUUAGAAAAAUAUAUUUUAGAUAUAGAUAUUAAGUUUUUUUUAUUAUUAGAAAAAUAUAUUAUUAGAAACAUAAAGCAUAUCAAAUAGUAAAAAUAAUUUAAAGGAAGCCGGAAGGUUUGUAGAACUAAGAUAAGUUAUUCUGAAACUUCUACCAUCACCUAUACCAUCUAAAUCAUCGUAAUUUUAGUGAAGAAACAUAUUAUUCAAGUCAAACAUAACAUGAUAAGAAGUCUCGAAACCAAUAAUAUAAUUUGAUGAAGAUUAAAAAGAUUAAGUAGUUAAAUGAGCAUAGUAAUAAAACUAAGUUCUACAAUAGGAUACGUAGAUGCAACGUGAUCUUACGUGUCAUAUAUUUGAUAAGUGACUUUGCUAUUGAAUUAUGUUAGAAAAAUGCUCAUAUAUUUUUUUCAUUUAUGUUGAUCCCAAGCCUAAUUAAUGGCAAUCACUAAUUAGUAUCCGACUUAAAACGGAUCGGAUAAAUACGACUACAGAAGAAACCCGACCCACUUCCAUCAACGGGUGACAACAAUGGAAGGGUACUGCUCCUCGAGCAAGCUGUCUCAGGGAGUGAUGGACGGUUCAGAUCACUACAUCAUUGGGAUCACUUCCUUACCGUUUCGCUUGCUUGCGUCAUCCAUGAUCCAUCUCUAUUACUGCGUUCCCCGUCCAUCCGUCACUCUCGAACCCUAAAACCGCGAAAGGGGAAGCAAUCACAACUCGGUUGAGGUCAUUGAUCUGUUAGAUCGGUGCUUUAGUUAACUUCGUGCUAUUUCCUUGCUUAUGCUUUGAUUUGGAUGUAAGCUUUUAUGCGGUGAUCUUCUAUUUGCUGUCCGUGAUUUGGAUUCGUUUUCUCUUUGAGAAGAAUUUAAGAAACUGGAUGAUGGACCCUUAGUUUGGUUGUGUUUUGAUCCGUGAAAGUAACUACCAGAGACUACUAAAGUUGUUGAGGAGGAUUAUCUUCUCGAUUAAUUUUCGAUGAUAUCGCCUUGUUCUCGAUGUAUUCCUCCGAUGAAUUUGCUGUGUUUGGCACUUGUUGAUGUAGCUUAGUGCUCCGUCCUGCAAUAGAGUUUGUAUUGGGGCAAAACAAAUAGAACUGGGAGAGAAGGAACAUCACUUGGCAGGUUGUUGAGUGGAAGAGUGACUAUCAUCUCACUUGCUUGAAUAGGGUUCCAUGGACAUUGUUGAUUGGAACAAUAACUAUCAUCUAAUGUAGCAAGGUUGAAGAGGUUCUGGUGAAACAAGUGAAUUUUGUACGUGAUUAGGUGCUUUUCCAUUCAGCUUUAGCUGAUCCAAUUGGCAGUCCUACUUGAGGCAGCCUCGGACAAAUCUUUUCAAACAAAGUUAGGUUUGCUUGGUUGGGGUUCUUCAUUCUGCAAAUCCAUACUAAUUCUGACAUGUUAAGGGGAUAUUGAAAUCUAGUUCUAUAACACAUACUUUGGUUUGUAUUUGAAUUUGGGCUGAACUUAAUACUAUUUUCAACCAAAAAGAAUCAUGUACUCCUCUCCCUGUAGAUUAUGAUUAUUGUAAACUUUCAUUCUCGUUUGAAACUGUUCUUAUUUAUACUAUGUCCUUUUUGACUGCUAAUGAUGUCCAUGGUUUUUGUUGAUUGAACCGUAGACAGUUCUAUCAUGCAGUUUGAUAAUGUGGCAAAUGCCCUUUCUUGCUGUCUGAGAGGAAAAAGAAUUCCAUGAUUAUUUAUCUUUUCUUCCCUUAUUUGACUAACCUUUUUCCUGUGCCUAUUGAAUUGACUUUUUCUACUUUUUUUGAGAUUAUGAAUUCCAUGCUAGACAUCAAGAUUGACUUUUCAUACAGUUAAGCACGUGUGCAGACCAUUGUCAAUUCAUUACUUCCUGAAUUGAUACAUAUUGACAAGGGUGGUUCAGUAAAUGAGUUCUCUUUUUCCUUUGAAGCUGAUUAUAUUUUUCUGAUUUCGCACAGCCAUGAAGGUGCGGUCAUCAGUAAAGAAGCUAUGUGAGUUUUGUAGGACAGUUAAACGUCGGGGGAGAGUUUAUGUGUUAUGUACUGCCAAUCCCAAGCAUAAACAGAGGCAAGGCAUAUCAACAUUUGCUUAUGAGGGUCCGGUCCCUUCUGCGUAAGUGUUCUGGUCAUAUACCUUCUAUUUCUUUCUUUUGGUGCUUGUGUCCUCUAUAUAUUCCGACAUAAUUGCUUUGCUUUCAGUUUCAUGGUUCCUUAGUUUUUUCUUCCCUUCUGCUCUAUGGUUCUUGAAACUUUCUGUCUAAUCAAGAAGACACGGUAUCAAAGUUUUAAACAUGGUUAGACAGUAGAAUAGCUCUUUUAGAUCUUGCAAUGUUAGUGAGAUGUUGUUCAUGAGUGUCAUUUCUUAAGCUUGCUUAAAGUUGUAAAAUUCACUUUUUAGAAUGGCACUGGACCAAGUGAAUCCAUUAUAAGUCUAUUCUUGUCUAUAGAACAAUGAUUGUUUCCAGUGCCACUAUGUCAUAAUCUGCCGACUCCAAUGAACAAUCAUUAUUGUACUGAAGUGGUAGUACUAAAGUAAACCAUGGAAAUCAGAAAAACUUAGGAUGCACUCGGCCGUUGAAGAAUAUGAAAUCUUAGCCUGGUGUUCAAGCAUUUGCAUCUCUGACUUGGGAAUAUUGGCAGCUAUCAUAUUGUAAACCUUAGGAUGGAAACUUUGUGGUUCCAGUUUGAAUAUAAAGCUGUUUUAGGAGAAAAGCUUGCAUGGAUGACAUGGGGCAGAAGCUGUGCAAUCUGUGACAAUAGAUGUUAAACUUGUUUGGUUUUGCUGCUUCAGCAAUAAUGGGGUAUGCACUAAGGAUACUAAAGCUUCUUUAUUCUGGAGGCUACAAGCGGCUGCUUCAUGUUUCUAUCUCAGUAGUAAUCAGAAUGUGAGUAGGAAAUCUUCUCUUUCAUCUUGCUUUAAUAAGCUUUAGUUAGAUGAGGUCUUCCUAUCGGCGUGCAACGCAACAAAUGGGUUUGUCACGUGCAGUAUCAGAUAGUUUAGCAUGUUUGUGGUUUGACAGCCAAUAAUCCACAUAUGUGGUUACAGUAAAUAAAGAAAAAGGAAGCAAUAAAAGUGGUUCCACUUGUUGUAUGUGCUGCUUGGGUUUCUUUAUUACAGCAGCAGCAGUGCAGCUCAUAACAUUUCAAUUUGUACUUACCUACUGCCUGUGCUUCAACAUUUCAAUGUGGCUUAUAUUACAUAAAAUCACAUGAGAUUUCUUUUUCUUUUACCCUUGUAGUCAGUGUAUGUUCCUUGAUGCUUUAUGGUGUGUGCGCAUUGCAGAUCCUCCGAAGUGGCUAAGAAGCAAGAGCAAGAGCCUUCAGUGACUAAUUUCUGGCCUCUAGGACUGGCAUCUCUUCUUCAGAAACAGGAGAAACAAGUUUAAACAUAUCUCGAGUCCAUUGGUCUGGGAAUAAGUUAGAAACAUGUCAAGGACAUUGAUUUGGAUGUUACAUGACUUGUGAGAGCUGCACCACUGUUGCAGAUCUGAUUGCGUUUUUAGAUGCUUUUAUCAUCUGCACAAAUUUUCAUCCAACUAUAUAAACUCAAAGGUUGACUAGCUAAUGCUACCUCAGUUCAUUUUUCUACAUCCUUGCAGUGAAUUUUAUGAGGUGGGAUUCGAGGACCUUAGUAUUGAUUUCUUUCUUGAGGUAUAACUGCCCUUGAUUCCUCAGCAUUGGAUUUUUCAUUAUUCCUUCCUGAAUAGGAAGGCCAGCGGGGUGCGGAUGGCAAUUUCUGUUGAAAACUCAGGUUCUUAUUCUCUCCAAGUUAAAUUCAUUUCUAUUUUAAAAAAUAAAUUAUUAUCAAAAUUAAUUAAUAAUAUUAAAUUUUGAUAAUAAUAAUAAUAAUAAUAAUAAUAAAGUUUAUAUAUCAUAAUAAUAUUUAAACAUAAAUAUUUUAUAAUUAUUAUUUAUAAAAUUUUAAUAUUAUUAAUUAAUUUUAAUAAUAAUUUAUGUUAAAAUAAAAUAAAUAAAUUAAUUAGAAGAAUAUAGAUAACGACUCUUUGGAUUCUCCAUCGUCGUCCCCAUCCCCGUUUCGUCUAAAAACAAGUAUUUGACAUAUAGGGAAGAUGGGUAAUGCAUUGAAACAAUCUCAUAAAACUAAAGGAUUUUUCAUUUAAUUUAUCUCUUAUAAAUAAUUCCAAUAAUACCAAUAAAAAAAUCAGCAUGCCGUAAGCGGUAUAAUAAGCAUAAUUUUGCAAGCAACAAAAUGAAGAAUGUCCUUAGGUUUCCUUCCAUACCACUAGAAGUCGUGUGAUAAUAUUACGUGCUUAUAGAUCAUUUAUCAAAUAGACGACAAAAAAGCGUGAUCACUUACCAUUAAAAGAUAUGGAUCCCCAACUGUCAUCCAUAACAUGUAUAUGUCAAUAUUGACAAUGAUGAAAUUACCAUCCCAAUUAUAUACAUCAAUGUGUUCAGUCAGUGUGGACACAACAAUGGAUCUAAAAUACUGGAUUUACCUACUACAGCACUCAGAUAAAAUAAGCAACUCAAUUGCACAGGAUGCUAAAUACAUGGAUCUACAAAAGUAUUGUUUUAUUCCCACUUAGGUUUAGUAAAAGAAGCCAUGAUUUCUUGCAACAAGCAAUAUGUAGGGCUAUCUGUUUAGCAAACUGUGACAAGUAUCAACAAAGAAAUUGCCUCCUGUUCAGUAAAGCAAUAAAAAAGUUGGCUAGAUGCAGACUGGAUACCUUGUGCAAUUAAGUGCUCUCCCUCCUGGCAUCAAUAUGCUUUACUAGGUAGAUGAUUAGAAGCAUCAUGCAGGCACCAUAAAGAAGUGUUAAACAAAUAUACAUCGCAAAAUGACAUUAUAAGGGUUGUCCUCAACACCUUGUGCAAUUAAAUGUCUGCCCUACUAGUGUUGAUAUCCUUUAUUAGGUAUAUGAUUAGAUGUAUCAUGCAUACAUCACAAUGAAAUGUUAAACUAGAACAUACCAAAGGAAUGGCAGAUACUGAGGGCAACCAGUACACAGGGAUCCUGUCAAUGCAAGAUUUGGGCAAGGUCAUAUCCCUGUAAGGAUAAUGGUUGUUUUCAUUACUCAAACCAUGAACAUCUAUAUUACUGCAAGGAGCAACUUUACCUUGACACCAAAAAUACCCUCAAAUGACAACUAAUGAGGAAAACAAAAAAAGAAAACAAAGAACUGAAGCAAAAGUCAAACCUGCCAAUGCAAGAUUUGCACAAGGUCAAAUCCCUGUAAGCAUAGUAGUUGUUUUCGUAACUCAAACUGUGAUCAACUUUACCUUGACACCAAGAAUCGCCCUCAAAUGACAAAUAAUGAGGUAAACAAGAAAAAGAACAAAUGUGAAAUAGUGCAAAUCCUGAUAAUGAAUGCUGAAACAUAUGGAUGUACUUUAGCUCUGAUGAAAACUAUGAAUCCACAAUUACAAAAACUACCUGAAACAGUGUAAGUCUACUCUUGAUAAGGAAUGCUGAAAACAUAUGGAUUCACUUUAGCUCUGAGGAAAACUAUGAAUCCACAAUUACACAGAAUACCUCAAACAGCAGGGUUCUUAUGAUGUGUCAUGUAAUUUCCAUUCUUUUACAUCCCAAGGAUCGGAUUAAUCUUCAUCAGAACCAAGACAUCAUCUUGGUAUCAAAUCCUUCCUGGAUAAAACUAUAUGCAUAAUCCCUAUUCAUAUUUAACAUUUUCAGUAAAGGGGAACAACGAGUUAGAUAAUCCCAGCAAACACAAAAAGGUUGUUUGAAUUUUUUUUUUUCUCACAUGGAGAUCCCUCGUCCAAUUAAUGAGAAGAAUUGCAUAAACACUUUAAGGUCAGAAGAAACAAAUAAUAUAUGAUGUCAAAAUGUCCAGAAGAUUACAGCUAACUACAAUCGAUACAAGAAUGGUAUCAAAUGCUCUCUGACACAACGAAUUGACAAGUGAAUGAAAAUAAUGGGACAUUACAAGAGGCGAAACAGACAAGAAGAAAUACCGGCGACCCUUCAUCCAAGAAGGCAAGCUCAAAGGAAGCCACAGAGGACGGCGAAGCCGAGGACAAUGAGCCAGACGAUAUGGAGGAGGAGGAAGGCCUGGCCGGAGACGAGGCCGCUCCCGCCGUUGCCGACCUGGCAGGGCCCCCUCUUCGCGACGCGGACGCUGGCGCACGUCGCCUCCGGGCACCCGCACCAGUACGUGACGCCGUUCACGCCGCAGACGGGGUCCGGCCGGAAGCAAUUGAUGCGGCAAGAGGGGGCUAGCCCGUCGGAUCUUCCGCCGCAGAGAUCGACGGCGUCAGCGGCGGCGUCAAAGUCCUCGGAACUAGCGGCGGCGACGAGGAGACAAAGGAGGGAUAGGGCGAGGAGAACGACCGGGGACACGGAGGAGAGCCGGCGGGAGGUCGCCAUGGCUCGCCAAAGACCGCAGGACGAAUCCCUAACCCUAAUUAUCAACGCCGCGUCGCGUCUUUCGGGGAAAGAAACGCGAACGAGAAGGUGAAGGAGGCCUUCUUUUUAGUUGCCACGUUCGUUGGGUCCGCUUUUAGCUUGGGUUGGUGAGCGAUAGGGGAACAGGUCGUGAACGCCAACUAAAGAAAUAAACAACAAUAAUAAAAAAUAGAUUUGAUUUUUUUUAAAACAAGGAAAAUUUGGAAGUAACCUAUUUUUAUCUUUUAAAGUUUAGAUUAAUCAUUAAUUAUAGUAGAAAACUUAGAUUAAUCAUUAAUAUUAAUUAAUUUAAACUAAGUUUUAAAAAUGUAAUUUAAUACACUAAAAUUUAGAAGGAUAAAUAUGAAAAUCACAGGAAUAUGUGCAAUUUUGCAUAAUCAUAAUGACAAUGACAGAGAUAAUGAAUUAUUUGACCAAGUCCUACUACAAUGUCCAUAUAUAUAUAUAUAUAUAUAUGAUGUGAUCUCAUACACAGAACGUGGUAUAUUAUUUCCUUCUCAGAUAAAGACCCUAAACAUUUCACCGUAGGACCAAAAAAAUCAUAGAAAACAGAACCAUAAAAAGAACAAAGUUUUGGAAAUAAUACUUAGAUAGGCUCUCGUCAGUAUGAAAAUAAAUAACAGCAUAAUAAACACUGUGCUCACAAUUGGUCAUCACAAGCUAAAAACGUUACAUUAGGAUUCACAUGAAUUAUGGACUUAGGGUGUUGAGGUUGAAACAUGUUUAUCUAAUGACAAGAUAAUGACGUUGUUCACUCACAACAUUGAGCACAGCUUAUAUCCUUUUCGCUGUGGCAUGAAACAUACUUCAUAUCCCCCUCCUAUUUGAUGUACUUUGUGUCUGCUUUUUUCUCCUUGCCUAGAGUCAUUCAGUGUGUGAGAUGGUGGUGCGGAGCUUGAGGAUCUUCCGGCAGAAUAGAGCGGUGAAACUUCUUUUGCAGAAUCAACAUGAGUACAUGAAAGCUUGAGCAUCUUCCUACCCAUCAUCCAUUUCAGCAUGAUUUUCAUAUGGGUUUUACUGUUCGAUCCAUUGAUGCUAGAUUCCUGGACAAAUGAAUGUUCUAUCAACCGUAAUAGUGAUAAUUAAAUCAGAUUUGUCACAACAUGUAGUACACAAUGGUAUAACAGAAAUUUCCUUUCUUGCAGCCAAAAAAAUAAAAAAGAAAAAAAAUUUCAUGGUUUUAAACGUCAAAGCUGUUCCAAGUAAAAUCAACAAAUUUGAGCAAACAGCACCAUACCUCCACAUCACAUUGCCAUAGGUUUCUUGAUGUUAAAAAAUGCUGUAAAAUUUGAUCAAAUUAGUUAAUCACAAAGCAAAGCAUAGGAUAUCAACAUGAAACAGAGUCCAUAUGCACAAUCUUGUGUCAAUGUAGACACACAACAACAACAACAACAAAGUCAUAAAAUUUGAACUAUUUGGAGUCAAUUAAUACAUGAGGAUAAAAAAUAUUAAUUUUUCUUAACAUUAUCUAUAUUUUUUUCUUUUGAAUAUACUACUUGGCACAGUCCAACCAAGCCAAAGAAAUGAUGACUAGCCUUCGUAAUAAUGAACUUCAGCAUUGGAACAUGAUAUAUCUCAAUCCAAAUGGUGUCAUGGUUUUAAAGAUUCAUUAAAAGUCUGAAUUAGACUUUAAUGUUUUUUUUCUUUUAAUGCCAAAUGAUGCAUCCAAAGCACAUGGACUCAUGUUUUUAGUUUAAUUUAGACUAGACUAGACUUUCAAUUUUUUUCAUCAUAAUUAGAAGUUUAUAUAGAAUAUAUCUUAUGAGAUCUAAUAUUUGUUCACUUAAAAAUAUAAGACAAGAAAAAUUGAACAAGACAUUAAAUAGUAGUUUUAGAUGAUAAGGGAGAAUCUUUAUCAUAUCAAUAGUAGUUGUGCUUUUAAUCAAUAAUAAAGCAAAAAAAUGCAUGAAACUAAAAAAAUAAUAGAAUGAAAUAAUGAUACUACAUAGUCUACUAACCAUCGACCCCUUCUUUCUCUUCAUAGUUUGAUACUCAUAGUUAUUAUCUUAGAUUGACAGUGGAUAUUGUGUAUCAAAUUAAAUCACAGGUUUGAACUGCCACAUCACUCAAUUUUACAUCAUCAAAGAUAUAUACAUACAUACAUACAUAAAUAUAAAUAUAAAUAAAUAAAUAUAUAUAUAUAUAUAUAUAUAUAUAUAUACACAUAUAAUGUUCAUUAACUACAAUGAUUUCAUAUAAUCACAUUGAACAACAAGAAAAGGUUGAUGCAGAAAAGAAGAAAACAACAUCAUCUAGGUUGAAUUAAAUAUUUAAAUAAGUUACUGAAGAUCCAAACAUUUAAUUCAGAAAUUUACAUGUUAGAAAAUGAUAUAACAGAAAGACUCUUUCACGAUAAGAAACACCAAAAUAGAUCUUAGAGAAUUUGAUAAAGGAAGUUAUCACCACAAAGUAGGGUAGAAGAAGUGUGGAGUCAAUGAAUGUUUGGGGCGUUAUCAUGAGGAAAGAAAUCACUUUGAAAUUUAAAGAAGUUUAUUUGCACAAAGAAGCACGGGAAGAGGAAAAUCACAUUCAAUAUUAUGGUUGGUUGGCACGGCAACAAAAAGUUGAUGACUAGGAUAUUUAUUUUGUAAAAUCAAAAUCUUGAAAUUGCGAGAACUAGUAUCAUGGAGUAAUGACAACAAAAGAGUUAUCCUAAUUUUGAUUUUACAGGUGACUAUUUGCGAUUCUAAUAUCUUAGAAGAAUACUCUGGUUAUUACUUGGCUGCAAUUUGAUGACUUAUUAUUUAAGCAUAAUAAAUCUCUCAUGGACCAAGAAAAAAUACACUAGUAAUAUGGCAUUAAUGCUCAAACCAUGGAAGAAAAAGCAACUGCUUAUAAACUUUAAGAAUGCUUUCCUAGGAUAGGAGAAGGUUGUUCAUAAAUGCUUUCCUGUUGUUCAUAAACGCAAGGGCUUCUAUGGCAAAGGGAAUAGAACCACAAGUCAUGUCCAAAAUUUCAUCUUUCGUACUGGCCUCUAUUUCGAUUUUCAUGGACAGCAUUUUACUUGGUGUAACAACCGUUAUGGGUCUUCUCGCAUCUCUGCUAGGCUUGAUAGAGAGUUAAGAAACCAGUCCUGGUUCAACCUUUUUAUCACACUGCAGUCCAGCACCUUGCUAGGUGACGUCUAACCACGCUCCCCUCCUCAUACAGGCCUUCAGACUCACUAGGACCUUCAGGAAACAGAAAAACCACAUCAACAUCCUCAAACUUGACAAUGACGACCUGAUCCAGGAGAACAAGGCUAUCCUAGCCCAAUUCUCAGAUUGGUAUACCCGUCUCUGGUCUCGUUCUAGCAAUCAGUCUCUUGAGGAUUAGAACCUUCUUCCCUCACUUUGCACCCUCGUGAACUCUGACCAUAAUCAGCUCUGUGCCCCCUUCAUUCUCGAUAAAUCCACACUGCCUUGAAGCAAACGGGGAAGGGUAAGAGCCCCAGCCUUGAUGACUUCAAUGUGGAGUUCUAUCUCACUUACUGGGACACCCUGAAAAUUCUCAUCCUUAAAGUUUUCAACUCCUUCCAGAAUGCUCCCUUUCUCCCUCACAGAUAGUGUAGGACCUUCCUUGUUCUCAUCCCCAAUAAAGAUAACCCUGACAUUGUCAUCUAUAAGUUUCUGUCCAAGAAACUUACCAACAGAUUCCGCAAUCACUUUAAUCACCUUGUCCAACAGGAACAAUCUACCUUUGAAGCACGGUGAUCCAUCCGCGGCAACAUCCUUAUAGCCAACGAGCUGGUCCAUUCCAUAGUCAUCUAAAGGAAGCUACUCUCUUGUUAUCCUAAAGCUUGACCUAGAAAAAGCAUUUGACAAUAUCUCUUGGAUUGCCAUUAGCAAGACCUUUUACCUUGUGAACUUGCCUAGUACCUUCAUAAGCUGGAUCACGAAAUGCUUGGUUUCCCCCUCUUUCACCUAUUUGGUAAAUGGAAACCCUUUGAACUAGUUCAGAGGACAUCGAGGCAUUCAGCAAGGGGAUCCCAUAUCCCCUUACCUUUAUAUCCUUGUCCAACAACUGCUCGCCUCCAUCCUCACUAGUCUCGUCAACAACAACAAGCUUACCCCCUUCAAUAUUAAGGGGAUCAAGGACUCUCACCUCAGGUUCGCUGAUGAUGUCAAUAUCUCCUUUCAAGCAAACCCAAAAUCCUACCGUAGCGUCCUUUUGACCUUGGAUUUCUUUGCCAACCUCACUAGCCUUAAGGCCAACUUGGACAAAUCCAAUAUUUUCUUCCCUAGAAAUUGUCCCCCGCCCAUCAAGCAUAAAAUAUGUAGCAUCCUUGGCAUUAAAAAAGGCACUUGGCCUAUGCCUUACUUGGGCUCCUUCAUCUCUCACAAUAGAAUCUCGAUUUCCCUCCAAAGUAGAAUGGUGGACAAGACCCUUGCAAAGGUGAAGGGCUGGUAUAUUGGUUUCCUUAGCCAAGCUGGGAAGGCUGUAUUCAUCAACUCCAUCAUUAACUCCACUCCAACCCAUACCCUUAUGACCUCUUGGAUCAGUGACAAAGUUGUCUCUCAUAUGAACAGAAUAUCCAAAGAUUUCUUUUGAAAUGACUCCCCAAACCAUUCCAAAUGUAAACUCAUCUCCUGAGACCAGAUCACCAGCCCUAAGCCCAAUGGAGGACUACGUUUACGGGACCUCAACUUGGUCAAAAAAAAAAAA
rnacentral:lncRNA from 1 species